AUCUCGACGUGGCAGGCAGCGAACGGAGCGGGAGCGGCCGAAACCGAGGGGUUGGAAUUCGAGGUCAUCAAAUCCAACCUAUGACUGAACACCUCCCUGUCAGCUAGACCUUGGCACUAAGUGCCACGUUCAGUCUUUUCUUAGACGCCUUCAGGGGUAGGCAGCCUAUUCCAAUGUCUGACCACCCUUUUUGUGAAGAAAUUCCUCCUAAUCUCCAAAGUGAAGCUCCGCCGGUGCAGCUUGAAGUGAUGUCCUCUCGUCCUGUCACUGAUUUCCUAGAAGGGCCUGCCCCAGCCUGGCUACACGGUCCUUAAAGGUGGUUGUAGACAGCAAUAAAGUGAUCCCCGAGCCUCAGUUUUUUCCAAGCUAAACACCCCCAGUUCCCUCAGCCUCUCCUCACAGGACUUGUGCUCCAGCCCCUUCACCAGCUCCAUUGCUUUUCUCUGGACACGCUCCAGCAGCUCAGUGUCCCUGUAGUGAGGGGCCCAGGCUGAGCACAGCAUUUGAGGUGCAGCCUCACCAGUGCUGAGUGCAGGGUGACAGUCACUUUCGUGGUCCCAGUGACCAAGCUAUUUCUGAUGCAGGUCAGGAUGCCAUCAGCCUUCUUGGCCACCUGGGCACACAUUGGCUCAUGUUCAGCUGCUGUCAGCCAGCAUUCCCAGCUCCUUUUCCGCUAGGCAGCUUUCCAGACACCGUGUCCUAAGCGUGUGGCACGGGGUUGCUGUGACCCAAGUGCAGGACCCAGCACUCAGUCUCACUGAACCUCUUAAAACUGGCCUCGGCCAUCGAUCCAGCCUGUCCAGGUCCCUCUGCAGAGCCUUGCUGCCCUCCAGCAGAUCAACACUCCCACACAACUUGUGUCAGCUGCCAACUUGCUGGGGGUCAACUUGGUCCCCCGGUCGAGGUCAUUGAUAAGGAUGUUAAACAGAGCUGGACACAGUACUGAUCCCCGAGUAGCACCACUAGUGACCAGCUGCCAACUGCAUUAGUUCCAUUCACCACCACUCUCUGGGCCUGUAUUUCAUCCAGCAAGCACUGCACUCACCCAAAUCGUCAGCAGCCAGGAGAGUGCUGUGGGAGCCAAAGGCUUUACUGGAGUCCAGAAAGCACCGCAAGAACCUGCUGGGUCUGAGUGCCACAAUCCAAGCGGUUGACACGAUGGUUUUCACUGCGGCGCCGGGGCACCACCAAGUGGCAGCAUCGUGAAGAGCCGAGCGCUCGUCGGAAAAACAUUUCUGUCUCAAAAAAGAACAAAGGGAGCGGUUCCGCACCUGGAAAUAGCCAGUUUCGGUUUGAUUCGGCUGGUAAAGUAAAUUAAUCUGAAAGGAAUAAAUAUAUUUUUAUUCUGAAGUAAUGAGAUGUAGCCAUAAAUAGGCGUACAGUUGUAGCAAAUUGAAAUAUUUUGAAGAAAGUCUGUGUGACUCAUUAAAACAGUAGGGAACAAAUAUACCACUCUGGCUGUACUCAUCAAAUAAAGCGAACAUUUUAUUUGGAACUAAUUUCGACACAUAUUAGUCUAGUAUUAAUCUUCAACUGUAUUAAUAGAUAUGAUCAAAGUUACUCCAAGGACUCUUCCAGCAGUGCUAAUAUAAAAUAUCAUCUUUUUCAUGCCAUUCUCCCAAAGAUCACAGCAUAACACUGACUCAUUACACAUGGCACACUAAAAAAGAGAAAAUUAUGGCAAAACCAAAAAGAAUGGAGACAAAACUUAAUUUUUUAAAUGUCAGCUCUCUUGACUGUGCAAACAUUCCUUGUUUUACCACAACAGCUAUUAGACAUACCUUACACAGUACCUUUACCACCAUAUUUAAAGCUCCACGGCCGGUUGCCAUGGCAUGAAGGAAACCCAACUAUUGCUUUGCAGUCUCAAAAUACCUGUUUCAAGAGUUUUUAAUGAUUAUCUUGAACGAUAUUGAAGCCAUGUGUCUUGCGGCUGUAGAAAUUCUUUAGAUUAGAAGUCAGAUGGAUAUGGCAGAAGCAGAUAAAGCCUCUGAUCAGGUAAAUAAGCAGAAUCCAAAUAAAAGCACAUUCAAGGUUGUUGUGACAGGAAAUUAAAAAAAUCUUGAACAAUAAGCUAUUUUGCUGUCUUAUAUGGAUCGUGACUGAGUUGCUUUAAGGUGAACUCGGUACAUAAUUCACUGAAAAUACUAAGUCAUAUACCCAUUAUUUUUCUGGAAGGAGGGAGCAACAACAACUAGAACAUCCCUUAUCCAAGAAUCACCAUCCUUGGCAAAGUUAACAAGUAGCUGGAAAAGGGAUGAGUAGUCUGCAGACAGAAUUUUCAUUGAGAAAUUUCUCAUCCAGGUCAUGCGUGGAAGCCUUGAGCCAAGACUCAGCCCAGCCUGAGGAAUGGGCUUAGAGUUAAAUGUUGGAUUAGGAGAAUGUGGCUCAUCAUGCCUGGAAAUGCACAUGGUGUGGAGUUACCAAGAGCUGCCAAAAAGGGGUGGAACAUGAAAAGAAUUCUUCCUGGAGACAUUUUUCAUCCAGGCCAUGGCUGGGUGUGUUGGAGAAGGCUCAGCUGGUGUCUGGGAUUAGGGUUAAUGUUAACAUUACAUACCUGGUUGGGAGCGAGAUAAAACCUGGGGCUACAGUUGGUGGGGGGCAGAAAAGGAGCAGCCAGAGUAAGGGGUAGGCUGCAAAAAUACUUCUUCCCUGAAAUCUCUUUAUUCUGGGUGCUAGGUCAGGAUCUGGAACUAAGGUUCAACCCAUCCUUUGCAUUCAGACUAAGUUAGACUUUUAACGAGGCAGAGACAAGCGCUCCAUUUUGAUAGAAAGAUCUGCUGUAGGAAUUUUCUUAUGAUAACUUGUUCAUCAUGGCUAUGGCUUGGAGACUUCAGUUAGUCUCUGCAGAGACUAACUGACUUCAACCAAAGUUGAAGUUGUAGCUACAAUUAGGCUUAGGGACAGGAAACAGGCCAAGUUUGAAUACCCAUUUGGAGUGGGGCAGGAAAUAAUUAUUUUCAGAGAAGUUUCCAUCUGGUUGAUGGUUAGGGGCUUUGGGCUGUCUCAGCCUGAACCUAUGAUUAGGGAUCUGGUUAUGUUCAGCUUUGAGAAAAGAGAAAAAUCCUAGCGCUUUCUUUGGUCAGGGAUUGAAAAUGGAUUGCCAAAGGAAGGGAUGGGGAUAAAAUAAUUGUUCCCUGAGGACAUGUUCACCUGGACUAUGAUUUGAGAAUGUUGAGCUGGAUCUCACCUGACACCUAGGUUUGGGAUAAGUGUUGGAAGAGACAUAAAGAGCAGAAGCUCCAGUUUAGUCCAGUUAAGCCUCCAAAGAGGCUGCCAAAGGGAACAGUAGACUAUCAGAAUAAUUCUCUCCUGAAGUCUUGUGCUGUUUUCUUGGUUUAGAGGCAAGUUUAGGGGAAAAACACUGUGGAAUGAGUAUUUCCUCUAAAAAAAGAAAAAAAAAAGUUCCAACAGUCCCUUUUUGUCAAUAUGAAUACUAGUGGAUGAAAGUGAAAAAACCCCCCAGCCAUUUAUUGACAAACAGAGUGCCCACAUGGCACAGUAAAAAGUAAAUAAAUGCUAGAUAUUGAAUUGUCAGAACUUAGCCCCCUCCACCCCUAUGCCCACAUACACACCGGAACAAAAACCCAAAAUGCCAGGGAAAAGAAAAAAGCCAACAGCAGUUUGCCUCUUAUGUGUACAAAAUGGGAUGGGUUUUCAGGGAAAAUAAACAAAAAAAACCCCCAGUAGAUUCAAGCAGCAGUUCAGGCAAACAUGUGAAACCUGGUGAAUCUCUGACGUCAGCUCCCUCUUCACAGCAGAGGAAGCAGGUGAGCUUUCUCUUGCUGUCUCAGCUUUUCCCAAGAUGUGAGGCUGAAACAGAGAGGCCCCUCGUCUUUCCCACUAGUCUCUGAUCUCCAGUUCACUUUGAAGUGCUGCUGAAGAAUUGCUGCUGCAGCCUCUUCAAGUCCAGGAAGGACAAAGAAAAACUUCUGCCUGGCCUAACAAAAAAAUCCAUGCUAGCCAAGCAAAAGCCCAGGCCACAUGGCAUGAUGGACACUGGGGGUGAGGCUUUGGAAAAGCUCACUGAAGAGCUUCAAGGCUCCCGUCUCCUUCCAGAUCCACCUUAAAGCUACAGCAACCAUUUUUGGGCAUGAAGCAUGCAAUGAGGGAAUAGACUAAUCAUCAUAAAAUCACCCCAAGACAGCUGUGCUUAAAUUUACAUGAGAACAUGUUUAUCUGAGUCAUAGCUAGGAAUUAAUGGUCUCAUCCAACACAGAGUCUGGGGUAGUUGGGGCAAAGUCCACACAAACACAUAAAUUUGGGGUUGGGAGAGAGACACAGCACAGAGCUCAGUUAGAAGAGAAGCUUGAAGGAGAUUGCUGAAGGAAGGUGAAUGUUGCAAAAAAAAUUGUUCCCCGAGAGCUUGUUUACCUGGGACAUGGCUGGUGGACCUGGGCUAGUGCUCAAUUGUCUUCUCAGAGUGGUCAAUGAUUGCCUUGUCAGAGUGGUCAAAGCAAGACAGAAUAGUUACAGUUUUUGUGAAGCACUGCUUCUGGAAGGAUUUCUUUCCUAAGGGAAAAGGAAGAGCUCGUUAUAUGAGUAACCCAUGUCCCAUUCUGACCUUCAAAGUUCACCUUUUUUUUUUUCCUGUUGGGAUGGUCAGCUUUUUGGGUUGAGACAGAAUCCUAAAUCAAAAUUCCCUGUUAAGGAGUAAUGUGUUCUUCAAAGUCUUUUUCAAUUUUACAUGAUUUUUCAUUUUAUUUCACAUUCUUGUGCAUAACCAUAUAAUUCAAAUACAGAAACGUUCUGCUAAAAAUACUAAACUUAAUUCCCUGUACAAAGGAAAAGUCUGUUCUCAUUAACCUUGCCAUAAGUAGUGUUUAGUCAUCAAAGUUAAGUUGUCAUUAUGACUGAUAGAGCUCAGUGCCUUGGGAGGUGAAGAACACUUUGGCAUGUUCAAAUUUCUAUCAGCCCCAAACAGAAAAAUAAAUAAGCAAAGACUUGCUACCCAUCUGAGAAAAAAACUCCUUGAAUUAAUGGAAAGCAAACACCAAAUUAUAGGCCUAUUAGCUCAUAUCAUUGGUUAUAUAAAACUGUAUUAAGUGUACAUUAAAUAUGGGUGUUUGGAGA